rnacentral:snRNA from 1 species
GUGCUGGCUCUAGCAGCACAUAUAGUAAAAUUGAAAUGAAACAGAGAAGAUUAGCAUGGCCCCAUGUGCUUCCGUCUAUGGGGUCACACAGAGUCGGACACGACUGAAGUGACUUAGCAGCAGCAGCAGCAGCAUGUGCAAGGAUGACAUGCACUUUUGUGAAGCAUUCCAUAUUAAA